AGGAAAAUGGUGAAAAGGUAAACACACCUAUUUUAGGAAUAGGUUUUUAUGAGUUCAAGUCUCAUUUUUCCGA